UGCCGUGCUCAGCGAGGCAACCGCACCAUCAGUCGACUGCUGAUUUCUUUUACCGCAGUGUCAUCAGUAACUGAGGCAUUCACAGUUGAGAUCAGAGGAGCCUCAAAUAGGGGGACACUGAGAACCUAGGACAUUACAUUGGCAUUGCAUGGUGUGUCCAAACCCCUCGCUAAUAUGGUGAAUAGGUGAACAAGUUGGGGUUCUGAAAGCAAUUCUAUGGCACAGAAGAAGUCUUGGAAGCUAGGUCAGGAGAAAAUAAAUACCAGUCCUGAUGAAGCUGAUAAAUUCAAGUACAUUCUUCAAAAUAGCAUUUUUCUCUGGCAAUAUAAUUUUAGUUUGGAGUGCAGCAAUAAUUGAAUUCCUGGGACUGAUUUGAUACAGGUGAGACAGAGGGUUUGCUCUUAAUUGAUUGCUUAUUUCAGCCUUCCGACAUGUGAGAAAUAUUGUGAAAAGUUGUUUGGUAUGAGAAAAGCCUUCUAUUACCCUAAAAGGUAAGGUAAAUGAUGCUUUGUUACAGUCUUAUGAUAUCUAGGUGAAGAUGCUAAAUCAUACCAAAUAUGUAAAAUGCUGGACAAAUGAUCAGGCAUGUAUGCAGUGGUAAUUGUAUAAAGCUAAGAAAUUACAGUUGUCUAAGAAUAAAGAGAUUUAAAAAUAGAGUUUUAUGGGACAGACGUCCUAGGGCAUACUAUGUUAUUCUAGGGAAUAUUUACCUACCAGGAGUAGUUGUGUAGCCUCUCUAUGAGGAAAAUAAUUGUUUUGUGUUUCAGUGAUGGAACACCACAUCACUGGUAAUCUUUUGGGUUGGUUUUUCAUUCACAGUAUAGCAGUGAGGUAGAUUGAUGAUGUUAUUGAGGGAUUCUCAUUAGCUGUGGGAUACCCAUACAGGGGUCAAGUGAUUUGUCCAAAGUCAUGUUGGUAGCUGAACUUAGGUCUUAAAAGUGAGACUAAACUCAAUUACUAACUUGGUGUUUUUAGAUGGGUGGGCAACAUUCUAAAUUGUUGUAGAAAAUAGUGGUUUCCCUUCGGAAAGGAACAGUGGUUAUGUUAAUGUAUACUUUUUUUUUUCUUGUUUUUAAAGGUGUGGUACUGCACUUCCUAUUGAAGGGUGGAGAUGAAGGCAGGUAUUUCCUGCUUUCCAGGCAUUUGGGUGUCAUGUUUUCCUGUUGCUGUUAUUGUUUUGGGCCUUAUGGAGUAUGUCUUUUUAUUCUAUGCUGCUAUUUAAGGGCCAGGAAAAGAACAAAGUCUUGCUGAACGUGCUUUAUUAACAAAUUCUGAAUUUACAGUCAUGGAGCAGCUGUUGUAUUCUAGGCCUUUUACUACCUAGUCUAGUUGUAGGUUGGCUAAACAGUAACUGUUAAGGAACUGGAAAUAUCAAAGAUAAUGGAGCAAGAACACCUAAACUCACCUGCUUCAUCAGUGGCUUUAAUAUUUGGUUUCUGUCUUGUUUUUGGAGUCUUGCCUGAUGGUGAUAGCUUUCAGAGGUUGCUACUAUUGUAGAGAAUUAAGUUGAUGGGAAACGGCGAGGGAGUCGAGUAGCAGGGAUUUCAAGAUUCUUGCCAGGUGAAAUGGUAUGGUUUUUUAAGUUCUGGCUAUUGUGAAGAGUUGGAAUGUUGAAUUAACACAGGAAGAAAAGAAAGUACGGAAAUCUGAUUUAAAGUAUUAUUAGCAGGGCAUAGCCAAAGGGAAGUGUUACUGAACCAUGUCCAGUUAGGAUUCUAAAUACAUUCGGUUCCUCUCUAAUGCUUCUUCUGUUACUGACUUCCAACUUUAACAUUUAGAAUACUAACCAAGCUAGAUUAAAAUUAUUUUUCUGGCUUACAUGUAACAAGUACAAAACUGUCAAAGCAGAUAAUAAACAAUGUAUUGUUUUUUCUUUAAUGUUUCUUAUUUACUCGGAUGUUAAGAUUGAAGAAUGAUGAGUCAAAGUAGUUGAAUAGGGUUUUUUGAGGAAGCUUUGGGGAGUUCAGGAUUCUUUUACUUCUGCGGUGUUUGAGUGAUAGAGAUUCAAAAACUCCUUUACCUGUACCUUUAUUAAUGAGACAGAUUCUCAUGAUAAAACUGGCUUUCCUGGCAUUUGAUUAUGGAAUGUAUCUUUCUGUGUCUUGAAUUCACCAAGAAAUGAAACGGAAUACAAAUACAAAAUAAAUACUCAAAAGUGUCACAGCAGUUUGGUGAGGAAGACUGAAACCUGUAGGAUGAGUUGGUGUCAGUCAGUAGUAAAUGAUUAGUUGGGAAGCCCCGACUUUGAAGGUAGGCUUCAGCUUCAGUUCCUGUCUCUCCUAAAAUGGUAGCAGCAACUCCUUUUAUAACAAUUUUUGCUAUAUAGCUUUUCUCACAAUCGUGGGAUCUUGCAAGAGUCUGUAUUGCAGAACUUCUCUUAAGCAAUCUGUUGUCUGAAAAGUUGUAUGAUUACUGCCCAGACAAGGCAGUUGUAAAGUGUAAUUCCCUAACUUGGAGAGAAAAUAAACAAUCUUGAGGAAAAGUCCAGCAAGCUGUUAAUGCUGAAGACUUACCAUGACACCAGUGUGAACAGCUGAGGAGUUUCUUAGCAAGAAGGAAAGUAAAACUUAAAUUACAUUUAAAAGAAAAAAAGUGAUAACCUGCUUAGUAGGACAGCUUCCUGUCCUCUACCAACUAAUUGAUUUUUGAUGCUUUUUUUGACUAGUCUGCAUUCAGACUCUCUACGUCUGGCUAAAGUAUAAAAUAAUAAUUCUUAAUUGAACUAAAAGAUUCUGCAUGUACUGGUUUUGGUCUUUAGUGUUCACAGUUUGUUUUUAAUUAAAAAAAAACCAAAAAAAAAAUUCCCCCAAAACAAAAAAACACCUCACCAUCCCCAACAAACCACAAUCUGUGGUUAUUUCACUAAUGUAACUUGAAAGUGAAUGUGUAACACUGCUUGUCCUUACAGAAAAUGAAGAUUGAGUGGUUAGUCUAAGACAAUUAAAUAAUUUACUUUAUUGUAAUGCUAAAUGUUGAUCUGGAUUUCACUACAGUGAAACCUAUGUGUAUACAUCAUAAAAAUGUGAGAUGUCAGUCUGAUUAUAUGUACUGCGCAUACAAAAGCACAAGUUGAAUUUUUGUAAUAUUUUCCAUUAUUUCAAAGUUAGAAGAUUAUAUUAGGGGAACGUACUUAGCUAGUCAUACUUUGUGAAACAAUGCAAACAUAUUUCAUAUUUAGAUAUUUGAAUGUCAUAUUGUAACUGUUAUCAUUGUGUUACUUUUCAGGGUGACCAGCAAGAAGAAAAUCAAGCUCUUGCGUAACAAUGCUGGGGCAGUUUUUGGUCCAUUUUGAUUUUGCUGUGAGGGUAUUGUGAACUAUAAAGAAUUACUUGUCCUCACAGUGAAAAGGGAAGAGGACUCGGCCUUCAGUAUAAUCAGUUAUGCUUUCCUCCAAAGUCUACAAGAUCAGCAGAAGAAUCUGCAACUGCAGUAGCUUAUUUCAGUAAGGAGCUCUGCCCUUCUGUGGCAUUUGAGCACCUUCUUGUCAGCCAGUUCAGCCUAGUUCUUGUGCCUUUAUAAAUGCACACCGAAAAUAUUUAUAUUAUUUAAUGACUUAUUAUUCUAGAAGUAAACUAAUACUGCAAAUGCAUGAUGUGUUGAGGUGCACUCACUACAUAAAAUUACUGGUAGAAUGAUUAUUCUGGUGCAUAGUACUUGAAUAUAGUGUGAGUCAGCCCAUACUAAUGUGUUGCCCCCAAAACCUCCCAUUAGACUAGUACUUCAUGCAGAAGAAGAGUCAAGAGAAAAGUAGACUUUUAAAAAUUUCCUUUUGUAGUGUCAUAAUAUGCAUGGAUGAUAUAUUUUGCGUUGUUAUAUCAACAUACGCUUUUGAAUAUCUGACUUCUGUAGACCAGAAUAUUUGCAUUAGUAUUAACCAGUAAAUUUUGCAGAUUAGUGAAUGAUGAUGAUUCUGAAACAUUCUUACUUCUGCCAAGAAUAUGACACGAGCAAUGGUUAUGCUUUUGUCAAAACAGCUGAGUAAGUUUUUGUGCACCUAUGGGUCUAUGGGAAUUGAUGAAUAUGUUCAAAUGUCAGAACUAAAUCUAUAAAAAUUGUUAAUAUGUUAAGAAUAUACACAUAGAAGCAUUACUCUAAGCAAAAUAGUUGGGUUCUUGGCAAUACCGAGUAUAUGUUUCUGACCUAAGUAAUGUGAAAAUUUUCUGUAUGGGUUUAUACUGAAAGGCAAACAGUGGCUGUAAAAACACAGAAUUGUUUUGUUUUGUUUUGUGUUCGUAAUGUGGCUUUACUGUCCUGGCUGGUUUCCUUAGAACUGUGGAUCUAUCAAAUCUUUUGGAAUGUGAGUAUUUAAGUAUGUAAACUGGGAAACUUCCAUCCAAAUAAAGACAGGUUCUGUGUUGGAA